UACGUAGGGUGCGAGCGUUAAUCGGAAUUACUGGGCGUAAAGAGCUCGUAGGCGGCUUGUCACGUCUGCUGUGAAAACUCGGGGCUCAACCCCGAGCCUGCAGUGGAUACGGGCUAGCUAGAGUGCGGUAGGGGAGACUGGAAUUCCUGGUGUAGCGGUGAAAUGCGCAGAUAUCAGGAGGAACACCGGUGGCGAAGGCGGGUCUCUGGACCGAUACUGACGCUGAGGAGCGAAAGCGUGGGGAGCGAACAGG
rnacentral:rRNA from 1 species